rnacentral:rRNA from 1 species
GACGAACGCUGGCGGCGUGCCUAAUACAUGCAAGUCGAACGCAGUGGGGACGGGUGAGUAACACGUGGGUAACCUCCCAUCAGAGGGGAUAACAAUUGGAAACAGGUGCUAAACAGAAACUGAUGGAUGGACCCGCGGGGCAUUAGCUAGUUGGGGGGGUAACGGCUCACCUAGGCCACGAUGCAUAGCCGCCCUGAGAGGUUGAUCGGCCACACUGGGACUGAGACACUGCCCAGACUCCUACGGGAGGCAGCAGUAGGGAAUCUUCGGCAAUGGACGAAAGUCUGACCGAGCAACGCCGCGUGAGUGAAGAAGGUUUUCGGAUCGUAAACCUCUGUUGUUAGAGAAGCGGUAUCUACCCAGAAAGCCACGGCUAACUACGUGCCAGCAGCCGCGGUAAUUC